rnacentral:rRNA from 1 species
UACGUAGGGUGCGAGCGUUAAUCGGAAUUACUGGGCGUAAAGGGCGCGUAGGCGGCCACCGCAAGUCGGUUGUGAAAUCUCCGGGCUUAACCCGGAAAGGUCAAUCGAUACUGCGGGGCUAGAGUGCAGAAGGGGCAACUGGAAUUCUCGGUGUAGCGGUGAAAUGCGUAGAUAUCGAGAGGAACACCUGCGGCGAAAGCGGGUUGCUGGGCUGACACUGACGCUGAAGCGCGAAAGCUAGGGGAGCGAACGGG